rnacentral:rRNA from 1 species
ACGCUCGACACCUACGGGAGGCAGCAGUGGGGAAUAUUGCACAAUGGGGGAAACCCUGAUGCAGCGACGCCGCGUGAAGGAAGAAGUAUUUCGGUAUGUAAACUUCUAUCAGCAGGGAAGAAGAUGACGGUACCUGAGUAAGAAGCACCGGCUAAAUACGUGCCUGCAGCCGCGGUAAUCUGAGGCGGGCUGGCAAGGC